rnacentral:rRNA from 1 species
GAUGAACGCUAGCGGCAGGCUUAACACAUGCAAGUCGAGGGGUAGAAGUUACUUGUAACUUUGAGACCGGCGCACGGGUGCGUAACGCGUAUGCAAUCUACCUUUUACAGAGGGAUAGCCCAGAGAAAUUUGGAUUAAUACCUCAUAGUAUCUUUGCCUGGCAUCAGGUGAUUAUUAAAGUUCCAACGGUAAAAGAUGAGCAUGCGUCCUAUUAGCUAGAUGGUAAGGUAACGGCUUACCAUGGCAACGAUAGGUAGGGGUCCUGAGAGGGAGAUCCCCCACACUGGUACUGAGACACGGACCAGACUCCUACGGGAGGCAGCAGUGAGGAAUAUUGGACAAUGGGCGCAAGCCUGAUCCAGCCAUGCCGCGUGCAGGAAGAAGCAUCUAUGGUGUGUAAACUGCUUUUGUACGGGAAGAAACACUCCCUCGUGAGGGAGCUUGACGGUACCGUAAGAAUAAGGAUCGGCUAACUCCGUGCCAGCAGCCGCCGUAAGAC